rnacentral:rRNA from 1 species
CCUACGGGUGGCAGCAGUGGGGAAUAUUGGGCAAUGGGCGCAAGCCUGACCCAGCAACGCCGCGUGAAGGAAGAAGGCUUUCGGGUUGUAAACUUCUUUUCUCAGGGACGAAGAAAGUGACGGUACCUGAGGAAUAAGCCACGGCUAACUACGUGCCAGCAGCCGCGGUAAUACGUAGGUGGCACGCGUUAUCCGGAUUCAUUGGGUUUAAAGGGUGCGCAGGCGGGCCCUUAAGCCGGCGGUGAAAUCGCGGGGCUCAACCCCGCCGAGCCGUCGGAACUGGGGGCCUUGAGUGCGGCGGAGGCAUGCGGAAUGCGCGGUGUAGCGGUGAAAUGCAUAGAUAUCGCGCAGAACCCCGAUUGCGAAGGCAGCGUACCGGCUCCACACUGACGCUGAGGCACGAAAGCGUGGGUAUCGAACAGGAUUAGAUACCCUUGUAGUC